AGGGGUCCCCUGGCUGUGGACAAAGACCCCAGAGGGCGUUUCCUUCCUUCUCGUUUCUACUGGGUCUGUUCUUGUUUCUAAGAAAGACUUCAAUUUCCAAACCCGUGUGUGUGUGUGAGAGAGUGCAUGUCUGUGUGUGAGUGCGUGUGUGUGAAUGCAUGUCUCUGUGUGUGAGUGCAUGUGUGUAUAAGUGUGUGUCUGUGUGCGAGUGCAUGUCUCUGUGUGUGAGUGCAUGAGUGCAUGUGUGUGAGUGCGUGUGUGUGAGUGCAUGUCUGUGUGAGUGCGUGUGAGUGCAUGUCUGUGAGUGCGUGUGUGAGUGCAUGUCUGUGUGUGUGUGUGUGUGAGUGCAUGUGUGUGAGUGCAUGUCUGUGUGAGGGCGUCUGUGUGUGAGUGCAUGUCUGUGUUAGUGCGUGUGUGUUAGUGCGUGUGUGUGCAUGUCUGUGUGAGUGCAUGUGUGUGUGCACGUAUGUGUGAGUGCAUGUGUGUGUGCAUGUCUGUGUGUGACUGUGUAUGUGUGAAUGCAUCUGUGUGAGUGCAUGUCUGUGUGAG
rnacentral:lncRNA from 1 species